UCGGUGUUUAAAUAUAAAAUUAAAGAAAGUGAUAAACAUGUAGAUCAUAAUAUGGAUAGCUAGCGGACGCGGGUUCGAUUCCCGCCGCCUCCAGAA
rnacentral:tmRNA from 1 species